rnacentral:rRNA from 1 species
UACGUAGGGUGCAAGCGUUGUCCGGAAUUAUUGGGCGUAAAGAGCUCGUAGGCGGUUUGUCGCGUCUGCUGUGAAAAACUCGGGGCUUAACUCCGGGCCUGCAGUGGGUACGGGCAGACUAGAGUGCGGUAGGGGGAGACUGGAAUUCCUGGUGUAGCGGUGAAAUGCGCAGAUAUCAGGAGGAACACCGGUGGCGAAGGCGGGUCUCUGGGCCGUAACUGACGCUGAGGAGCGAAAGCGUGGGGAGCGAACAGG